UACGUAGGGUGCGAGCGUUGUCCGGAUUUAUUGGGCGUAAAGAGCUCGUAGGCGGCUUGUUGCGUCGGCUGUGAAAUCCCGUGGCUUAACUGCGGGUCUGCAGCCGAUACAGGCAGGCUGGAGUUCGGUAGGGGAGACUGGAAUUCCUGGUGUAGCGGUGAAAUGCGCAGAUAUCAGGAGGAACACCGGUGGCGAAGGCGGGUCUCUGGGCCGAUACUGACGCUGAGGUGCGAAAGCGUGGGGAGCAAACAGG
rnacentral:rRNA from 1 species